rnacentral:rRNA from 1 species
AAUGAACGUUGGCGGCGUGGAUUAGGCAUGCAAGUCGAGCGCUCACCCGCAAGGGUGGGAGCGGCGAAAGGGAGAGUAACGCGUGGGUAUCUGCCCUCGGGACUGGGAUAGCUGCGGGAAACUGCAGGUAAUACCAGAUGACGUCCCCGGACCAAAGGUGUGAUUCCGCCUGAGGAUGAGCCCGCGUCCUAUUAGCUAGUUGGUAGGGUAAUGGCCUACCAAGGCAAUGAUGGGUACUGGGUGUGAGAGCACGACCCAGCUCACUGGGACUGAGACACUGCCCAGACACCUACAGGUGGCUGCAGUCGAGAAUCUUCGGCAAUGGGCGAAAGCCUGACCGAGCGACGCCGCGUGUGGGAUGAAGGCCUUCGGGUUGUAAACCGCUGUCAGAGGGGAGGAAUGGGCGGAGGGUAAUCUCUUCGUUUUGACCUAUCCUCAGAGGAAGUACGGGCUAAGUUCGUGCCAGCAGCCGCGGUAACAC